ACUGAGCAGAGAAGUUCAAAUACAGAAAUAGAGAUGCAGAAAACAUUGAACUGGGCUCAGGUCACGGGGAACCUGGAGCCUAUCCCAGGGAGCAUCAGGCACAAGGUGGGGUACACCCUGGACAGGGUGCCAAUCCAUCGCAGGGCACACACACAAUCACAUACACACUACAGACACUUUGUACAUGCCAAUCAGCCUACCAUGCAUGUCUUUGGACUGGGGGAGGAAACCGGAGUACCCAGAGGAAACCCCUGCAGCACGGGGAGAACAUGCAAACUCCGCACACACUGGGCCACAGUGGGAAUCGAACCCCAGACUCUUUUCUCAAACCAGCAUAUCACAAUGUUCAUUCUGGGUUUUGCGAGUGGCGCUGAGCAGACUGAGCAAGUGGAGUGGAAUCUUAAGAAAGACAAUCUCCGCUUCAGUGGAAUUAUCAGUGCUCUGCC
ensembl:lncRNA